GGGCGGGACCGGGCCCCUCUGGCGAUCGAGCGAUCGUGAUGUCGGACCGCAUCG
rfam:Sphingomonas sp. Root720 contig_3, whole genome shotgun sequence.